UGCCAAUGAUGAUAGUACGGUUUUCGUGUAAUUUAUGACGUUCUGUGAUUACCUAUAUACCUACUGCCUUCCUUCUGAGGCU